GAGACAUCAAAUGAUCCAGCAGCAGAUUGUCUGUAUUUGCUGAGAUGCAUCAUCGUGUCUGUGGGUUUAGCAGCACUCUUAAUAUCUGCUGUUACAGUCAACAUGUGGACAAAAACUAAAGGAAACAAAACACAGACUGAAGAAAACACUGUCAGUCUGAACUCUCAAUAUACUCUAAUUUCUGUUACUGUUACUGUGCCAGACCCAGGGGAAAUCUGGACCAACAGGAAGCGAUACACAGACUAAGGGGCACUGCAAAGCCAUUCAUAUAGAAACUGUGGAUUAACAGAGAGGACACCGAAGCUAGUGUCUUGCUUGAGCCGGAGCUCUUUUAUUUCUGAGCUACAAUUCCCUCAUUCACUCAUGUACACAGUACAAAUCAAAUUAAUCCCAAUUUCUCUAAAAAUAAAUAAAUAAAUACAUUUCGCUAACAACAGUAAAUAAAGUUAUUUAAAGCAUUCUUACCAAACCCCCCAAAAUUUAAAUGAAUUCAGAUAAUUAAACCUAUAUUCACAUUUAUUUCUGAGCUUAAGGGCUUAAACAGCACC